rnacentral:lncRNA from 1 species
GGACUGGAAUAGCCUACUGAAUUGGUCCUUUGAUCAGAGCUUAGCUGUGGCUCAUUGAUAAUUAAUAAAGACUCAUUCUGAACACCUCAUAUCUCUACUAGGACUCCGUCACUUCCCUCGUGGUAUCAAAACUUCUAUCCUGUCUCUAUCUUCCUACCUUGUGGCUUCUCUCACCUCUGAGAGAGCUACAGAUGGCGCCCAACUUUCUCGUGGCAUUCCACUCUUUUAUUUCACACAGCGAAUGGGAGAACGCGUUCGAGGACACGAGGCUAAUAGUAGGCGGGUGCCGGAAGUCCAGGAAGGUUGCCGAUCCUCUGGCCAAGGACGAUACAUGGAGUCCAUGGAAGAUGAUUAAGAGCAUCUGAUGGCAAGAAAAUCUGCCCGGAAGAAGGACAGAAGGCAGAGGUGUCUGGCACAGGACACCAGAGAAGCAGCACAUGGACUGUAAAGACUGCCCUAUAGGCAGGUUUAACACACUAUGCACACACACAUGUAAUUGUAUGAGAAACAAUGUACAUGCAGAAGAGUAUCAUUGAGUCACUAACAGAUAUUCUGUUCUAGGAAUAUGUGGGUAUUUGGUAAAAGAUCUAACUAUUACAUGCCUGACAAUUUUGAAUGGUACUGGUACAAUGUAUAACUUGAAAUCAUUUUAUUGGAAUUGUUCCAUGUUAGCCAAAUUUGAUCAAAUAUCAAAAGGGUAUAAUUGGGAAUAUUAUGACAGUAUAAGGAAUGCUGUCCACUUGCAGCACAAAAGGGUAAUACUAUCCAAAAUGUACUGAUGAUUAUUGUCUUAAAGGGUACAUUAUAUUUGCAAACAAUAUGUUUUUGCUAGAAUCAGACUUAUCUAGAAGUCAGUAUUGUUAAGCUGUGACAGUUCCACUUUCAUAAGGAAAGAGGUGGAUAUGAUAUCACUAAUCAUCUAUCUCUUCUACACCCCAGAAAGAAUAUAAGUUAAAGCUUUGUAACAAUCAAUAUUGAAUGUAAUGAUAAAGAUCACAUUGUGUGAGAUACCUGAAGUGGGUUAAAAAUCAUCAAGAUAUUAAG